UGUUGCUAGAUUGGGCCGGAAUCUUGCAACACUGGCGACCCCCAUGACGACUUCCAUUACUUAAUUACAAUGGAUGAAAAUUUGCUUAACCAGAGAACCCAAUGUGCACCGAAUUCAGAGAAUCACCCAGCUGCCAUCAGCGAGGACCAUGAGCCAAACUGGCCAAAAUAUGAUAUGACGAUCAUCAGAACUUGUGACAACUACAAAGAUGCCUGUAGGAUUAUGGAGCAGUAUCAGACCGGCUGCAACACCUCUGAUCUACAGUCUGAGGCAGAGCAGGAGUGCGGGCCACCAGAUAAGAGACAAAGGAGGCCAGUCCAUCGUUUCGGAAACCCUGACCAGAGCGAAGAAGAUGUGGAAGAUAUAGUGUCUCAGUUGGAAGCACUACCAGUGCUUCCACGCCCAAGCCAAUUGCCCCGGCAGACUCCACUAUCUCGCCGAGUGCCAGGCAGUAGAUUCAGUCCUCCUCAACCUGGAGAAAAUUGUCCAGCACCUCACCAUGGGGCAGGACUGCAUCACCCUGCACCCGCUUUGAACAUGCAGAGAGUUACUCAAGGAACAGCAGUCCCUCCUCAACUCCCUCCACCCCCCGCACCAGCCCUCAACAUGCAGCCUUCUUCCAGCCUGGCCUACAGACCAACAUGGCGAGGGGGAAGAAUGGCCGAUACCAUUCCCUGCUCUGCGGCAGAGUUCCAAAUUCUAAGCCUGCUGGAAACGAUAAAACACCAAAACGACCAAUUUACGGCUAUGGUGAACCUACUCACCAGUAGGAUGACCAGCACCCCGGGGGCCAGAUGUGGAGAUGCCGGACAGCAUUCAGUUUCCCCUGGAACAAUUGGAAGCAGUGGAGGCAUUUGAACAGUUUUUAAAGGAACCGUCAAAUGGCCCAGCUCGACAGAGAGUGUUGCUGUGAGGAAAAACGUGGUGACACGGUCAGCCACCGACGCGGAGGUCACCAAACACGCCAUCAGGUGGUUCAACCUGGCGUCGGAUCGAGCGGCGAGGAGACGUGUCCCUCCUCCAUCCACUCAUUUGACCCAAUGAAUAACAAUUAAACAAUCUUUUGAUUG
ensembl:lncRNA